rnacentral:tRNA from 4 species
GGGCCCGUAGCUCAGCUGGAUAGAGCAACGGACUUCUAAUCCGUAGGUCGGAGGUUCGAAUCCUCCCGGGCCCGCCA